AUGUUAGCGGCGGACGGGUGAGUACACGUGGGUAACCUGCCUGUAAGACUGGGAUAACUCCGGGAAACCGGGGCUAAUACCGGAUGCUUGUUUGAACCGCAUGGUUCAAACAUAAAAGGUGGCUUCGGCUACCACUUACAGAUGGACCCGCGGCGCAUUAGCUAGUUGGUGAGGUAAUGGCUCACCAAGGCAACGAUGCGUAGCCGACCUGAGAGGGUGAUCGGCCACACUGGGACUGAGACACGGCCCAGACUCCUACGGGAGGCAGC
rnacentral:rRNA from 1 species